rnacentral:rRNA from 1 species
CUGGCUCAGGACGAACGCUGGCGGCGUGCCUAAUACAUGCAAGUCGAGCGGACAGAUGGGAGCUUGCUCCCUGAUGUUAGCGGCGGACGGGUGAGUAACACGUGGGUAACCUGCCUGUAAGACUGGGAUAACUCCGGGAAACCGGGGCUAAUACCGGAUGGUUGUUUGAACCGCAUGGUUCAAACAUAAAAGGUGGCUUCGGCUACCACUUACAGAUGGACCCGCGGCGCAUUAGCUAGUUGGUGAGGUAACGGCUCACCAAGGCGACGAUGCGUAGCCGACCUGAGAGGGUGAUCGGCCACACUGGGACUGAGACACGGCCCAGACUCCUACGGGAGGCAGCAGUAGGGAAUCUUCCGCAAUGGACGAAAGUCUGACGGAGCAACGCCGCGUGAGUGAUGAAGGUUUUCGGAUCGUAAAGCUCUGUUGUUAGGGAAGAACAAGUGCCGUUCGAAUAGGGCGGUACCUUGACGGUACCUAACCAGAAAGCCACGGCUAACUACGUGCCAGCAGCCGCGGUAAUACGUAGGUGGCAAGCGUUGUCCGGAAUUAUUGGGCGUAAAGGGCUCGCAGGCGGUUUCUUAAGUCUGAUGUGAAAGCCCCCGGCUCAACCGGGGAGGGUCAUUGGAAACUGGGGAACUUGAGUGCAGAAGAGGAGAGUGGAAUUCCACGUGUAGCGGUGAAAUGCGUAGAGAUGUGGAGGAACACCAGUGGCGAAGGCGACUCUCUGGUCUGUAACUGACGCUGAGGAGCGAAAGCGUGGGGAGCGAACAGGAUUAGAUACCCUGGUAGUCCACGCCGUAAACGAUGAGUGCUAAGUGUUAGGGGGUUUCCGCCCCUU